GGCGACGCUGGCGGCGUGCCUAAUACAUGCAAGUCGAACGCGCAGCGAGAGGUGCUUGCACCUUUCAAGCGAGUGGCGAACGGGUGAGUAACACGUGGAUAACCUGCCUCAAGGCUGGGGAUAACAUUUGGAAACAGAUGCUAAUACCGAAUAAAACUUAGUAUCGCAUGAUAUCAAGUUAAAAGGCGCUACGGCGUCACCUAGAGAUGGAUCCGCGGUGCAUUAGUUAGUUGGUGGGGUAAAGGCUUACCAAGACAAUGAUGCAUAGCCGAGUUGAGAGACUGAUCGGCCACAUUGGGACUGAGACACGGCCCAAACUCCUACGGGAGGCUGCAGUAGGGAAUCUUCCACAAUGGGCGCAAGCCUGAUGGAGCAACGCCGCGUGUGUGAUGAAGGCUUUCGGGUCGUAAAGCACUGUUGUAUGGGAAGAAAUGCUAAAAUAGGGAAUGAUUUUAGUUUGACGGUACCAUACCAGAAAGGGACGGCUAAAUACGUGCCAGCAGCCGCGGUAAUACGUAUGUCCCGAGCGUUAUCCGGAUUUAUUGGGCGUAAAGCGAGCGCAGACGGUUGAUUAAGUCUGAUGUGAAAGCCCGGAGCUCAACUCCGGAAUGGCAUUGGAAACUGGUUAACUUGAGUGUUGUAGAGGUAAGUGGAACUCCAUGUGUAGCGGUGGAAUGCGUAGAUAUAUGGAAGAACACCAGUGGCGAAGGCGGCUUACUGGACAACAACUGACGUUGAGGCUCGAAAGUGUGGGUAGCAAACAGGAUUAGAUACCCUGGUAGUCCACACCGUAAACGAUGAAUACUAGGUGUUAGGAGGUUUCCGCCUCUUAGUGCCGAAGCUAACGCAUUAAGUAUUCCGCCUGGGGAGUACGACCGCAAGGUUGAAACUCAAAGGAAUUGACGGGGACCCGCACAAGCGGUGGAGCAUGUGGUUUAAUUCGAAGCAACGCGAAGAACCUUACCAGGUCUUGACAUCCUUUGAAGCUUUUAGAGAUAGAAGUGUUCUCUUCGGAGACAAAGUGACAGGUGGUGCAUGGUCGUCGUCAGCUCGUGUCGUGAGAUGUGGUAG
rnacentral:rRNA from 1 species